rnacentral:misc_RNA from 1 species
AAGUCGUAACAAGGUAUCCGUUGGUGAACCAGCGGAUGGAUCAUUACCUGAACAACAUCAUUACAAAUGGUGUGGUUGAUUCGUCAACCUCUGGCGUGGCUGGUAAAUCAGUCUGCCAGAACUUGUAGUGUGCGAUGAUGCACGCUUGAUGAGUGAAGGGAUUGCUGGAUUGGCGAGAUGCAUCCUCAAUUCCUGAGACAGCCAUUGACUGACACUUAAGCGAUUGUUGUAAAAGAUGACAACUGCUGGCCGUGGAUCACUUGGCUGACG